rnacentral:rRNA from 1 species
CUGGGACUGAGACACGGCCCAGACUCCUACGGGAGGCAGCAGUAGGGAAUCUUCCACAAUGGACGAAAGUCUGAUGGAGCAACGCCGCGUGAACGAUGAAGGCUUUCGGGUCGUAAAGUUCUGUUGUAAGGGAAGAACAAGUGCCGCAGGCAAUGGCGGCACCUUGACGGUACCUUGCGAGAAAGCCACGGCUAACUACGUGCCAGCAGCCGCGGUAAUACGUAGGUGGCAAGCGUUGUCCGGAAUUAUUGGGCGUAAAGCGCGCGCAGGCGGCCUCUUAAGUCUGAUGUGAAAGCCCCCCGGCUCAACCGGGGAGGGCCAUUGGAAACUGGGAGGCUUGAGUAUAGGAGAGAAGAGUGGAAUUCCACGUGUAGCGGUGAAAUGCGUAGAGAUGUGGAGGAACACCAGUGGCGAAGGCGACUCUUUGGCCUAUAACUGACGCUGAGGCGCGAAAGCGUGGGGAAGCAAAAAGGAU